rnacentral:rRNA from 1 species
AUGGAUCUCGGAGUAGGGUCUUUUGUAGUGGCUAACGCACUGGUGUCUAGACAAGCACAAAACAUAGCCUCAAUGAGAUGGAAGGCAGCACUGAGGUCCGUAAGUCCUCUAGUGUUUCUUGGCUUUGCUCGUCUUAUCUCUACAUCAGGUGUUGAUUAUCAGGUGCAUGUAGGAGAAUAUGGUGUCCAUUGGAACUUCUUUUUCACCCUUGCAGCAGUUUCUAUCCUUACAUCCAUUAUCAGGAUUCAUCCUAAAUAUUGCGGGAUAGUUGGUAUGCUUGUUCUUGCAGAGGUAUGGCCAAAUUUUGGGUUGAAUGAGUAUCUCACAUCUGAUGAGAGAAGUGUUGAUAUCAUUGGCCAGAAUAAGGAAGGCGUGUAUAGCAUAUUUGGAUACUGGGGUAUGUACCUGAUUGGUGUAUCUCUGGGUUACUUUUUGUUUCAUAACCUUAGUUCAAAAGGAAAUAUCAGGAGCACUCAAGUGGUAAAAGUCUGGGUUCUCGCGGCAUCAUUUUGGAUUUUGGCGAUCAUUCUUGACAGCUAUGUUGAAAGAGUUUCUCGACGAAUGUGUAACUUCGCCUAUGUUAUGCUUGUGUUUGGCCAGAAUUUUCAGGUUAUAUCUAUUCUCACACUAGCGGGGUCCAUUUCACAUGACAAGAAUUUGGUUCUUGAGGAAGCAUUCAAUCAAAAUAUGAUUGGGGUAUUCAUUGUGGCAAAUAUCCUAACUGGUCUAAUAAAUCUCUCAGUUGACACGCUUUCGGCCUCUCCCCUCGCUGCCUUCAUGAUUUUGGUAGCAUUACUUUGUGCAUGCUUGCUGGUCUUGCUCAGUUUUCUGGUGUUAGGAUAA